UCCGUUUCAAAUCGAGAAAAUCUUAACCCAACAUAUCCAUAAUAACGGCUAAAAGCAUUCGAGGCAUAGAAAACAACCAUUAACUUUUGCUAAUUGAGGAUGCUCAUGCAAAUCAAAACAGUGGGAACAUGAUUCAAACAACAACAACAUGUAAAGUAUCAUUUCCCAAACGUGGGUCGAAACUUAAUGCUAACUCCAAAUUCAUCCUCUACUGGAAUUAAUCAAAGACCUACUUCUACAUAUGGAUUCCCAUGACUCUUUUCAUAUUUUCAAUCAACACCCAAACAAAUGUAAGAAAAGAUAAGGAUUGAACUUGAUUGCGCGAAACUUUGAUUAAUUUUGUUUGGAAUAGAAUACAAAUGAAUCCGGCCUUGAAAUUGGGAGUAACAACAGUUGAGAAGUAGAAACUAGCAACUACGAACAAAUCUCGAUCGGCAACUCACCGACUCCACGUCAAACUUCAAUCAUACUCCAUAGUUGAAUUGAGAAUCCGAAAUUGAGAAUAAAGAUUCAGAAAUGUUUUAUAUAUACUUUUCCAAAAAUGAAACUGCCCUCAAAAUCUAAAUAGAAAUUCGAAAACAAGAAGGCAAAACGGAACUUUUGUAUUCUUUUUGUGUGGAAUUCUCCAAGAAUAGAUAUUUAGAAAAGCGAAAAUCCAAGACAUCAAAACCAAACAGUAAAUUUUCUCCCAGACUGACCCCUUCCAAAAUUCUAAAUAUAUAUAUAN
rnacentral:lncRNA from 1 species